CCGGGCCCGUUAACCCACAACGCCCGACCUAUCCAGAUUCACCUUUCUCGGCCGAGCAGGUUCGGCGGCGGCGCAGCGAGUUGGGCACGGCGCGCGGGGCUGCUUGCUGGAUUCGAUGGUGGCGGGCCACGAGCAGCAGCGGAGGGCAGCAGUCGCCCCUCUCCUAGCCUCCCACGCCCGUGCGCUGCCGAGAGGCAGCGGCGGCGGCGGCGGCUGGAAUUAGCCGGCGGCAUCGGCGGCGGAGCACGGCGGCCUCAAGUGGCAUGCACGGGUGCUGCGUGCGCGAGGCGGGGUACUCCACUGGCGGGCUGCAGAGGCCUCGAGAUGGGUGGCUUCGCUGCGGCGUUGGGAGCGGCACCACGCGGUCCAGUGCAGGGAGCGCGAGUGUGCCGUGGAGAAGGUAGCGAUGUGCACUGAUGCCGCAGCCGCAGGCCAGUGCACCGGGGAGCGGAGGCCGCAAUCGAUGGGCAGGCCAGAUUUCUUUUCUCCGGUAUUCGGCGCCGCUAGUACAUGGCUCUUCUGCAAGUGCGAGAAGAUAAAGCCAGCGUGCAGGAUCCUAAUGGAGAUGGAGGAGUGCGUGCGCAGAACAGCUGCCCUGCUCAUCCAGCUACUUGAAUCCCAGUACAGAUUGAAGAGCUUGCUCUAGGUCAGCUUCAACUCGUGGAAAUGGCUGCCUUCUCUGAUCUUUUUUGCCUAGCACAUGAUGUUGCCGGUACUUACCUUGACGGUGCUUAUGGGUCCAAAAAGUGAAAGAACAAGAUGCUUAUGGAAAUCACAAAUCAUGCUGAAUUUUGCCCAUAGAAUAUAGCGACUAAUGUGUGAUUGUUAAUUGAAACAAACAUGUAUACAUAGAAACAUGCUAAAUACCUCUCCCCCUUCGAGCACUGCAUGUAUACGUUUUUUUUAUCCAGUUUUUAAAUGUUCCCGCUGAUGUUUGGUAAUUCGUACCUCCUCAGUGUCCUAUUGUUUCAAUAAUUCUGAACCUUUUUCUUGUUGCUAUGAUAUUCCGUAACGCAACAAUAUGUCUGUUACUUUGACAACUUGAUAUAUUCGGUAAUUUA